GUAGGUGGCGAGCGUUGUCCGGAUUUACUGGGCGUAAAGAGCGCGCAGGCGGUCGUUCAAGUCGCGUGUGAAAGCCCCCGGCUCAACUGGGGAGGGUCACGCGAUACUGAUCGACUCGAAGGCAGGAGAGGGUAGUGGAAUUCCCGGUGUAGUGGUGAAAUGCGUAGAUAUCGGGAGGAACACCAGUGGCGAAGGCGACUACCUGGCCUGUUCUUGACGCUGAGGCGCGAAAGCUAGGGGAGCAAACGGGAUUAGAUACCCCGGUAGUCCUAGCCGUAAACGAUGGACACUAGGUGUUGGUGGUAUCAACCCCGCCAGUGCCGAAGCUAACGCAUUAAGYGUYCCGCCUGGGGAGUACGGCCGCAAGGCU
rnacentral:rRNA from 1 species